CUCUUCUCUUGAAUUGGAGUGAAUGUUUUGAACAACAAAUUAUGGUAGAAAUAAUGCUUUGUGACUUCGGAGGUGAGGUCACAAAAGACCACGAAGCUUCCUGCUGUUUCUUCCAGCUUCCAUUCUCUCUCUGGAAUUUCCCUCUUGGAUGCUUCCUUUUGGAGCUCAGUCACCAUGCCUUGAGAAACCCAAGCAGGAAAAGGUUGUGUGUAGGUGCUCUAGUUGACACUGUGAGCUGAGGUAUCUCUGAACUGUGAAGGAGAAGAAAAUUCAGAACCUAGAACCCAGAGCUUUGUGACGUUCAAAGACCAAGCCCUUUCUCUGUGUUCUACGACAAUUUUGUUCUGUAUUUAUUUUUAUUACUCUUAUUUAUAGAGGGGGAAAUUUGAUGCUCAGAGAGUAAAGUGAUUUUCCAGAAUUUAUGUACUGGAGGAGAUAGUGGAACCUGGGUGAGAACCCAAAUCUUCCUGUACUGGGGGUGACUGAGUGGGUCACUACCUCUGGGGUACUUGCCGUGUCCGGAGAGAAACACAGCAUCUCUGGCAGGCAUUGCCAGGGAUCCUGCCUAACUUUUGUGGAAAAGGCAAUGCUACAGGGAAAGAGAUGGGCACAAGGAGGAGGAGUGAAGGAAUGGGACCAGCAGCCCAGAUGAUUUUUAUAAGCAAGAUACAUCCCCAUGCAGUAAUGGAGACUUCUGUUACAAUAAAGCAUGUGACAGUCAACUUGAUUUAUGCUGCAUGCUUUUUGGAAGGAUAGCCCAAGAUGUUCCAGCUAUAUACUAUCAUGACAUACAUAAAAAAGUUGAAACCUUUGGCUAUUGUGGUUUUGAAGCCGUCAAAUAUCAUCAAUGAAUAAAC
rnacentral:lncRNA from 1 species